rnacentral:rRNA from 1 species
CCUACGGGUGGCAGCAGUAGGGAAUAUCGCUCAAUGGGGGAAACCCUGAAGCAGCAACGCCGCGUGGAGGAUGAAGGUUUUCGGAUUGUAAACUCCUUUUGUUAGAGAAGAAAAUGACGGUAUCUAACGAAUAAGCACCGGCUAACUCCGUGCCAGCAGCCGCGGUAAUACGGUGGGUGGAAGCCUUACGCGGAAUCACUGGGCGUAACGGGCGCGUAGGCGGGUUAGCAAGUCAGAUGGGAAAUCCUCUGGCUUAACCAUAGAACUGCAUUUGAAACUGUUAAUCUAGAGUAUGGGAGAGGUAGGUGGAAUUCUUGGUGUAGGGGUAAAAUCCGUAGAGAUCAAGAAGAAUACUCAUGGCGAAGGCGACCUGCUAGGACAUAACUGACGCUGAUGCGCGAAAGCGUGGGGAGCAAACAGGAUUAGAUACCCGUGUAGUC